UGAGGAAUAUUGCACAAUGGGCGCAAGCCUGAUGCAGCAACGCCGCGUGAGGGACGAAGGCCUUCGGGUCGUAAACCUCUUUUCUGGGGGACGAGACAGGACGGUACCUCAGGAAUAAGUCUCGGCUAACUACGUGCCAGCAGCCGCGGUAAAACGUAGGAGGCGAGCGUUAUCCGGAUUUACUGGGCGUAAAGGGCACGCAGGCGGCCGGGCGAGUUGGACGUGAAAGCUCCUGGCUUAACUGGGAGAGGUCGUUCGAUACUGCCCGGCUUGAGGUAGGGAGAGGGGUGCGGAAUUCCCGGUGUAGUGGUGGAAUGCGUAGAUAUCGGGAGGAACACCAGUGGCGAAAGCGGCACCCUGGCCCACACCUGACGCUGAGGUGCGAAAGCGUGGGGAGCAAACAGG
rnacentral:rRNA from 2 species